AUGGACAAGGUGGUGAACCCGUUGUUUGAGAAGAGGCCGAAGCAGUUCGGCAUCGGUGGCGCCCUGCCACCCAAGAAGGACCUCCACCGGUUUGUCAAGUGGCCCAAGGUCAUGCGCAUCCAGCGCCAGUGCCGCAUCCUCAAGCAGCGCUUCAAGGUGCCCCCGACGCUCCACCAGUUCACCCGCACCCUUGACAAGAACCUCGAUGCUGGCCUUCAUUCUUCAAAAGUUGGGUGCACAGGAGCUCUAGGAAGAAGAAUCCCGAAGAAAAACCAUACCCAGCAAUGCAUUUUAGCUCACUGGAGCUAG
rnacentral:rRNA from 1 species